CUGACAGUUUAUCCAGCAGCCCCAUUCAACUCAGUCAGUCCUACACAUCACCCUAUGAAUGCUCCGAUUACCAGGACUAAAACAUGCUUGGUUUUAUUUAGAGAUUGUGGCGCUCCAUGCAGUGACGACUGAACAGCAACAAGCUGAGAUGCCGCCUGUGCCUCCCAGCUUGCAGCAGAAGUGGCAACAGUGGAGGAUGAAUGUCCCAUAACAAGAAGAUACAGAAAAAGACGAAGCUUAUCGACUAUGGUGUCGCCACGGACUACAAAGGUGGACGCGUGCAAUUUUUCAGGAUUUAUGCAGAUCCCAAAUACAGAUCAGUAGGUACCAUAAGGGCAAGGUCACUUUAAUCGGAGCCAAAAUGGACGCCACAAGUACCCUGGUUUCGCCGAGCCAAUCGGCAAAGAAAGUGCAGCAUCAGCUGGUGCAGCACCACGGGGCAGCCCAUGGGCGCUGGAAGCCGGUAGCCCUCCUCAAUGGACAGAAUCACCUGCGCACAGAGGGAGGGCAACAUAAAGCCACAACAUUCGUCACAAGCACAAGAAAUAGGUGAGAUUGUUUUCAUUUCAUGUAUAAUGACGCUGAAAUCUAAAAUCUGGCAAGUACGAGGUGGCUUAAAAUGCAGAUAACGGGAGCACGCUAUUCCGCCCAUAAAACAAAACAAAAAACAUCCAAAAAGUGGCAACAAUACUCCAUUUACAUCUCCUGACCUGAUUAUUAACUAAGUAUUUGCAAUUUUUUUUGCGGCGUUGUGAUCACAUAGAGAUAACUGGCUAAUAGAGGUAUGGGAAAAAAAUCUGUUUUUGAACGGCUCGAGAUUGGUAACAAUUCUUAAUUUACUCAAAAUUUGUAUUUAUUUUUUAAAAUGUAUAUUUUAAUUUUAUAAUCAGUCCAAAAUAAAACAUAAUAAUACAAUAAUGCAUAGUACAAUUCCAAACCAAUCCCAGCCCAGCAACACUCCGAUUAGCAAUCAACAGAGCAAUUGAGGAAACACACAAACAUGACAGAAAAAAUCAAAGUCAAACAAAAGUACAUAACAGUAUUAAUAUUGAUAAGAAGCGAUAAAAAAACAAACAUAAAUAUUAAUAUAUUGAAUUUUUAUUUUUUUUAUCGAUUUGUUAGAAUUCUUAUUAAUAUUAUUAUAUUAUUACUGUUGAUAUUUAUUUUUGUUUGCCUUUUGUUGAGUCUAUAUAAAUAUCAAAUAAAUAAAU